AAAAAAAAAAAAAAAAAAAAAGGCUGGCCUGAGUCGGAAGGCUGUGCGUUGAGCUGCUGCUUGCAGUGUUUGUAGCCUCUGGGGACCGCCACUCAAGGAGGGGAGCUCACUGUGGCUGUGAGCCCAACCCAAGGCUGCAAAGCACCAAAGAGCAUAAUAACUCUCCUUACCACUGUCUCUGCUGCUGCACCCCAUCUGAAAUGCUGAAGCAGAGCUAUGAGCCUGAGGGUUCCCAACCUGUUGUGACCCAUCCCAAACCCAAGGAACCCAGAACUUAAAACAGGACACCUGAAUACCACAAGAGUGCUUCAUUGUCCUGUGUAGCCUUGACAUAUGCAUUGCAAAGUAUUCUUUUGGCUCACUGUGCCGUAAACACCUGUGGCACAGAGAUGCACUCCUGUGAAGAGAAGGCAUCAGCUUGAUAAACGAAUUAUUGAGUAAAACUAUGAUCAGACUAGAUAAUCACAGUGAUCCCUUCUGGCCUUAAAUCUAUUAUCUUAAUUCUCAUUUACCCUGAGGCUGUUUUACCCCCCUCUAGCUAUAUAAAUGGACCUUACGGUUUGAAUAUUUAUAUCCCCUUUGAGGUAUCUUUAUGUUGCCAGAGUGAUGCCUCGGUAACCUUUGUGUGAAUGAGAAUGAGGAGCUCCACGGCCCUGGAUAGCCAGGGUGGAAGCUGGCUCAGGGGCUGGGGUUCUGCUCAUUUCUGUGGUUUUCCUUGUAUGAUCAAUACAUGUAGACUGCUCGGGAGUCCUUGUUUUAAUAUUUUAUUAACAUUCACUUUGCUUAUGCCUUUUGUGCUGAGGAUUUAUUAAUUACUGACAUAAGCCGAUCCACCUGCACUUGGCUAAAAUCAAGGUGUACACAGUUCUCAGGUGUUAUAUGAAAUAGUACCAACCUGAGAAGUGAAGUCAUAGAGUAACACUAAACUGGAAGGGCUAUAAGCUUGGAAAUGAGUCCUAAUGACCCACAGCUGGACAUCAGUCAGCAUCAGAGGACCAUGUGCUGGGAGGUUGUUCCCAGUGCCUAGAAAAAUCUAUCCAGCCCAAUCAAGGCUGCGGUACAUAGCGAGGCUUAUGUAACAGUAAUCUGGCCCUUGUGUGAUGGAAACCACACUUCAUAGAGACAGUAGUGGAAUAUAUGACUCUGGAGUGCUAGUGACUCUCACUGGUGCACCAGGAGCUUGCUGUGAAGGUAGGAACAGCUUGAUCCAGUGACUACCUUUUAAUGGUAUCGUGGCUGCGUUGCCAAGGUUGGGUUUUCUGCAUUAGACCCUGCAGCAAAAUGGCCCUGAUGAGCAGUACAAGCGUGCACACUCUAGUCACAGCUUCGUGGUGUAAACAUGGUCUAAUAAUAAACAAAAAUUCAUGGUGGGUACUUGGUUCAGAAGAACAUCUGCUCACUAAUCUGUUUUUAAACAGUGUAGUGGCUCUUCCCCAUAAACUUUUCACUUGGAUGAAAAGAUAAUAAAGGAGGAAAAAAACAAAACAAAACACAAAAGAGAACUUCAGAUGCUCCAGAUUCCUGCUGGAUAAACACUGGCAUUCAUCGCUUCCUGGAGCACAGCACAGUGCUCCCUGCAUGGAGCCCUUCACACAGUUAAUGUUGACCCAAAUGCCUCCUACAGAGAGGGGCUCUUUUUGUUUCAUUGGGUAUUGAAUGCAACGUUACAAGCCAUGACUUAUGGCAGGAGAAAAGCAGACACCCGAGGACAGAUUCCUCUGUUGCAUAAUUCCACAGCUGAGAAAUGUGCCAGGGAAUGCAGAAUUACGACCGAGACUUUUCCAGCUUUCCUCCUUGUUGUCUUCAUGGCCCAGCAGAAAAUUGUGACAGCUGUAAGUGACGAAAAAUGGAGCUUUAUUGCUUUCCGGACUAGUCAGAUGGCCCUUCUACAAUUGUUGUAAGAAGUGAGAACUGGUCCUCUUAAUGGAUCUACAGCAAAUCCAUCGACUUGGUCAGCCUAUCUGUAGUGAUUGUUCUCCUAGCCCAGAAGUGCUCCCUGGGGCUCUCUGUGAAUGCCUACAGCAUCUUCCCAGUUGCAAAUCAACAGUUGCUGUGCCUUCCUGCAGAAGUCCAGAGCAUUGCUAUGCCUUGUCAGCGCAAGUGAAAACAAAUGGGACAAGCUAAACCUAAAACUACAUGUCUGGUAAAGCACCAUUCCUUGUCAACCCAACAGGCAGAAUUUGUUCAAAGCAAACAGCAGGGAAUAACUUCUGUUGAUGUUAUUAACUUAUUAUUUUGAAAUAUGAGAACGGCCAGCAAGACCGUGCCAGGGCAUGUGCCCAUGGUGUUCCAUCCAGUCCCCCUGCCCAGGACUGCUGGGGAAAGUGUUUGCAGUGUAUUCUGGCCACUUCGCUUUGGAGACUGGUGCUGGGUCUGUGCUGUCCCUUCCCAAAUUGGGGUGCAGGGCUUGGCAGACCAGCAGUAUUGGUCGUGGCAGCACCCACUUCUGCUGCACAAGCGCCUUAAUGAAGUGGUGGGCUUCUUCGAGCUUAUUGCUUUGGAUUACACCAUGUUGCCUCCUAUUAUGCUGCAUGGAGCCCUGACGUGGUGUAACUCGGGGGACCGUGAUGUGGGAUGACGUUACACGAUGAAAUGAACUGCGUGAGAAAAACCAACUUGGCCUCUCCUGGCAUUGACCACUCGCUGCCGGUUCCCACUGCAGCGGCACGGGUCGGCUUUCGGAUGGCGAGCAGCAGCAUGGAUGUUUGGAAGAACCAGGAAAUUUUCAUUAAGCAAUUCUAAAUUUUAUGAGCAAAUGAUCAUAAAAUGGUAACACAGGGGCAAUAUUAGCCUUAUUAAUCCAAUAUCCUCUCAUGAGAGAGAAAAGUGCCAAUAAAUGUCUUUUAUUUUGUACAGGCUAGCAGCAUGUUCACUGGUGUGUCCUUAGUGAUGGGAUGCAGAAUUCUGUUCUCACAGAGUCAGUUCAAAGCUUUGGAGUACAGGGGAUGAACAU